CUCGUCUAGCCGACGGAGACGGAAUCCGGAAGUUCAGCGAAGUUUUCCGUGGAGCAGUUUCCAUCAGAGGGCAGAGUCAGCUUGGAGGGCAGAAUCUCCUUGACAGCGGAGCAUUUGAAUCACUGUGAAAGAAAGAUGAGAGCAAGAGGGAAUGUGCAGCGCCAGACGCCGGGCCCUGUAGGUCAUGGAGAAAAUGUGUAAAGUGUCUCUACAUGUCAACAUACAUAUUGCCCUUCACUUAUAAAUCAGAGAAGUUACAUUAUGUUGAAUUCUAAAAGCACCUUGUGCUCCUGCCAGAUUGACAAUUCAUUCAGCAACGGAAAACUGCUCCUAUAACGGCUCACAUCUGAGAGGACUUGAUUCCAUAAAACAGGGUUUUUUUCCCUGUCAAGUGACAUCCUUGAGAUUUUGCUUUCUAUAAAAAUUCUACUUUAUAAAAGAACAUAUUAGAGGAGGUCGGUUCUUUGGGAACACAUCUAGUGUCCACAGAAGUGGGAAAGGGCCUGACGCUGGGGACUCCCUUCACAUCAAGGAGAAUUGCUCUGGAAUGCUGUGGCCCAUUUCACCACCCAAGAAAACGAGGUCUGGGAAUAUUAAAUAACUUGCCUGCGGUCACUCCACUAACGGGUGCCAGAGUUGGGAUUCAAACCCCUGUCCACGUGGCCCAGAGCCGGAGUUUCCUGCACCAGACUGCACAGUGCUGCCCCCUACCGUCUCCAGCCUCUGGUCCUCUCUAUG
rnacentral:lncRNA from 1 species